AAUAGCAAACUUCGCUUAAAGAUUAAGCCAUGCAUGUCUAUGUGUAGACAGUAUCAUUCAUUAUUGUGGAGCGAUGACGGCGAACAGCUCAUUUACCAGUGGUAAGUUCACACGAUGUAUUUCGUCGGAUAGCGGCGGAAAAUCUGCCGGUAAUACGUGACUGCAUUUGAGGUCGCCUCAAACGCAAUAGUAAGUGCGUUCGUGUAUCUGCCAUUGCGGUAUCAUCUAUGGUUGGUGGGGUAUUGGCCUACCAAGGAUUCGACGCCUACGGGGAAUUGGGGUUCGGCUCCGGAGAAUGAGCAUGAGAAACAGCUCAUACAUCUAAGGAAGGCAGCAGGCGCGGAAAUUGCCCAAUACUGGAAAGUGAGGCAGUGACAAGCUAUGACAUGCCCUUCGGGGCUAUGCCUAAGAGUAGUUGUAUCGACGCUACUUUGUUAUUCGUGGGAAAGCUCGGUGCCAGCAGCCGCGGUAAUUCCGACACGGAAAGUUUUCUAUUAUGUUGCUGCGGUUAAAAAGUUCGUAGUUCGUUUUCUGCCACUGUGAUUAAAUCGAAUCGUUCAUCGAUUCUUAACUGCGUAUCACAGUAUGGCCAUUAUGCGGCAAUGAGCGAAGCUGGACGUACUAGAUGGGGACAGGUGAAAUAGGAUGAUCCAUCUAAGACGCUCGGUGGCGGAGGCUUUCAGCGCAGCUCAUGUGUCACGAUCAAGAACUAAAGUCAGGGGAUAGACGACGAUUAGAAACCGUUUUAUUCCUGACCCUAAACGAUGUCGCCUAGACGGAGGGCUCGGCUCUCUCUCCAAGAGAAAUCGUAAGGCUACAGACUCCGGGGGAAGUAUGGUCGCAAGGCUGAAACUUGAAGGGAUUGACGGAGAGGUACCACCAGAAGUGGAUCUUGCGGCUUAAUUUGACUCAACACGCAAACCUUACUAGGCCCAGAUGCUUUGAGGAUUGACAGAUGAGUGAUCUUUCAUGAUUAGGUAAUUGGUGGUGCAUGGCCGUUUCUAGUCCGUGUCUUGAAAUGUCUGCUUUAUUGCGAUAACGAGCGAGACCUCCACUGCGAUUCUUCGCAGGACUGCUAGCGAUGAGCUAGAGGAAGGUGGAGGCUAUAACAGGUCUGUGAUGCCCUUAGAAGCCCUAGGCCGCACGCGCAAUACAAUGGCGGGCCCAUCGUGUCGCUCUACCGAGAGGUUGAGCUAUCCGUUAACGCCCGUCGUGGUUGGGAUUGGGGGUUGCAAUUGUCCCCCAUGAACGAGGAAUUUCUUGUAAGUGCGAGUAUGAAAUCGCGCUGAAUCUGUCCCUUUCUCUUGUACACACCGCCCGUCGCUCCUACUGAUUGGGAAGAUUUGGUGAAUUGCUCAGACAGGCCAUAGCAAUAUGGUCUUAACAGCUGUGAGCCCAAUCUUCUAGAGGAAGGAGAAGUCGUAACAAGGCCGCU
rnacentral:rRNA from 1 species